UGAGGAAUUUUGCGCAAUGGGGGAAACCCUGACGCAGCAACGCCGCGUGAGUGAUGAAGGCUUUCGGGUCGUAAAGCUCUGUCAAGUGGGAAGAACCCAUAUGGUGUUAAUACCAUCAUAUGCUGACGGUACCACUGAAGGAAGCACCGGCUAACUCCGUGCCAGCAGCCGCGGUAAUACGGGGGGUGCGAGCGUUAUUCGGAAUUACUGGGCGUAAAGAGCGCGUAGGCGGUCUUUUAAGUCAGGUGUGAAAGCCCGGGGCUCAACCCCGGAAGUGCACUUGAAACUAAAAGACUUGAGUAUGGGAGAGGGAAGUGGAAUUCCUGGUGUAGCGGUGAAAUGCGUAGAUAUCAGGAGGAACAUCAGUGGCGAAGGCGACUUCCUGGACCAAUACUGACGCUGAGGCGCGAAGGCGUGGGGAGCAAACA
rnacentral:rRNA from 1 species